UACGUAGGGUGCAAGCGUUAAUCGGAAUUACUGGGCGUAAAGCGUGCGCAGGCGGUUAUGUAAGACAGGUGUGAAAUCCCCGGGCUUAACCUGGGAACUGCAUUUGUGACUGCAUAGCUAGAGUACGGUAGAGGGGGAUGGAAUUCCGCGUGUAGCAGUGAAAUGCGUAGAUAUCUGGAGGAAUACCGGUGGCGAAGGCGGCAUCCUGGACCGACAUUGACGCUGAACGGCGAAAGCUAGGGGAGCAAACGGG
rnacentral:rRNA from 1 species